rnacentral:rRNA from 1 species
UACGUAGGGUGCAAGCGUUAAUCGGAAUUACUGGGCGUAAAGCGUGCGCAGGCGGUUUUGUAAGCCAGAUGUGAAAUCCCCGGGCUUAACCUAGGAAUGGCAUUUGGGACUGCAAGGCUGGAGUUUGGCAGAGGAGACUGGAAUUCCCGGUGUAGCAGUGAAAUGCGUAGAUAUCGGGAGGAAUACCGAUGGCGAAGGCGCUCUGCUGGACCAUAACUGACACUCAGGGACGAAAGCUAGGGGAGCGAAUGGG